CCUACGGGAGGCAGCAGUGGGGAAUAUUGCACAAUGGGGGAAACCCUGAUGCAGCGACGCCGCGUGGGUGAAGAAGGGUUUCGGUGUGUAAAGCCCUAUCAGCAGGGAAGAAAAUGGCGGUUACUUAAGAAAAAGCCCCGGCUAACUACGUGCCAGCAGCCGCGGUAAUACGGAGGGGGCAAGCGUUACUCGGAAUUACUGGGGGUAAAGGGAGCGGAGACGGGGCUGCAAGUCAGGAGUGAAAUGCCAGGGCUUAACCCCGGAACUGCUUUUGAAACUGGCAUGCUAGAGUGCGGGAGAGGUAGGUGGAAUUCCUGGUGUAGCGGUGAAAUGCGUAGAUAUCAGGAGGAACACUGGUGGCGAAGGCGGCCUGCUGGACAGUAACUGACGUUGAGGCGCGAAAGCGUGGGGAGCAAACAGGAUUAGAUACCCCGGUAGUC
rnacentral:rRNA from 1 species